UACGUAGGUGGCGAGCGUUGUCCGGAUUUACUGGGCGUAAAGAGCGCGCAGGCGGUCGUGCAAGUCGCGUGUGAAAGCCCCCGGCUCAACUGGGGAGGGUCAUUCGAUACUGAUCGACUCGAAGGCAGGAGAGGGUAGUGGAAUUCCCGGUGUAGUGGUGAAAUGCGUAGAUAUCGGGAGGAACACCAGUGGCGAAGGCGACUACCUGGCCUGUUCUUGACGCUGAGGCGCGAAAGCUAGGGGAGCAAACGGG
rnacentral:rRNA from 1 species